GACUAACGGUCGUUGCUGCGGCCGCCGCCGCCGACCAACGGCAAUUCCUCUGUCAGUCAAAACUGGCUCGUCUAUGCUGCAAGCAGUUCCACACGAGCCAAGCGCUGCCUUCAGCCUCCCGCCCGGCGCGUUGUUGUUGUUGUUGUUGACUCCUGGCCGCGGCCGUCACUCUAUCCCUUCCUCGUUUGCAGGCGAGGAAGCCGAAGCAAAACCUGCUGACUGUGUUUAAAAGGGUUGGUGGGGUGGAGGCAUUUGACUUCACUAUUUAACAAAAGGCGCAUGCAUUUCAAUAAAGAUGUAAAAUUGUAAAUACAUGUAUAAGCAGUAAAUCUCCCACACACACCACCCGACCAUCAGUCCAUUCACUCAAGAAUCAAUACUUCGUUUCCUUUGGCUACUCACACAGUGGCAUGCCUGCCAACAUGUUCCUAUUGACAGGUAUGCGAUGGCCCCAGACUGAUUUGUCAGUACUCACAUUACACCUUUUAACUUUUGGUUUAAGCGGAAACAAAUGUGCCAGGCACUGUAAAACACAAAGUGAGUGGACCAGUCCUGGGUGGUCUCUCUGUGUUUUUAAUGGAGGACCUAAAUGUUGAAAAGGCAGGAUAAUACACAUUUAAAUAAAUAAAUAAAUUUUACACAGUGAGAAUGCCCACUCAGAUUCUCCCCCCCCUUCUUUUUCUUUUUCUUAAUUGAAACACUUCAACCUAUGUUCAUUCCAAUUCAUUCAAAUCAACAGUUCAAUACCAAUCAAUAUAACAUAUAAUAUGAGCCAACAAAACUAUAUAGAUAUUACUCAGAUUCUCUUAACAGUUAGUUAAUCUGUGUUAAGUGAUGCUCUCCUAUGCAUGCACUCUUGCUCAAGAACAGAGGCAUGACUGCUGGACUGCAAUCAAGGCAGGUCCAGUCCAGCGGUCUUUACAAUAAUCCCAACAACAAGCAGGUGCUAAGUGGUCCACUGGUCCACAGUCUACCUUCUGCAGCCCAUCUCUGUGCACACAAAAUAGGAAUGGCACAGUUCCUGCACAUCAGGAUUACAAUGAACUUUACCUACACUAUCCCAAGGAAGGAUCAGGGACCAGGAAGCAUGUUAUACAUUUGGAGCAGGAGAGAGAGGCAUGCUUUAAGAAAAGAUUUACUUUACUGGUACAAUCCAGAUUUCAUCAGAGAGAUCCUGUCAAUCACAGUCAGUGAAACCAGACACAUCUAAUGGUGAUGGACAUUUGCAGUAUCAAUAGGCGAGGCACACAAGGUGGAAAUGCAAAUUUGUUCUACAGACAAGUUUAGUCAUCUCCAGCUGGAGUCUCUCCAAUCCUGAAACCAUUCUGUAUGGUUGCUCUGCCUGAACAGUCACCAUCUGGCUCCUUUAUUUGUGAUUAUAAAUCUAAGAAACUACCCAGGAUGUCUACACUGCUUUUUGAUCUUAGUUUACAAGUGGGACUACAGAACUGCAGAUUACAACAAUACCAGUUUAUGCAAAGCCACAUCUCUUCUGAAACAAACGUUUUGCCACUCAUCAACUGAUAAGAGCCAAGAAAGCCAGUGCUUAUUGAAGAUAGAGUUGAUUUGCGGAUCCUGGAGGGCACAAAACAGCAACGUCUGCCGAUAAUACUUUGACCAGUUAUUCAGACUGAACAUUCGCACUCGUGAGAAAUCCACCCCGUGAGAUUCCAGAGGCA